AUUUCUAAUAAAAAUUCCUACUCUCUCAAUUCUUUUACUGAAAUGAAUAAGUGUAAAUCUAGUUAAAAGACGAAAAUGCCCCUGGCAGAAACUGCUUUUAUCUUGUAGGAAAGUGUUGUUUGUUGUGUUGGCACUUUGGCAAGAAGUUAGUAUUUUAUAAUGUUGAUCAAAAGUAGAGGCAAAAGUACGCAGUGUAAAAGUCAAAGUAGAAACCAAACAUUCGUCUAACCGGACAAAAUAAUACCUUCUCCAAACUGCACGCCUUCUUAUGUAUUUCUCUGAUUAUAUGUAUAUAUAUAUAUAUAUUAACCUGACUUGGUCUCUGACUCUGAUCACUUCCCAUGAAAUGACCUAAACACCCAUAAUUAAGAUGGGUUUGAUGAGGGUAUUUUGGUCACUAUGAAAUACUUGUUGAACACUGUAUUAUUGGGAAACGUGAGGUGCUUAUUUCAAGGGAAUGGCCAUCCAACGGUGGUGGUGUUGGUGGUGUUGGUGGUAGCGAGUUGUGAUAACAUGUAGUCACCGCCAAAUGCAUUUCUGAUUUCUAGGGUUUGUUUACUGAUGGGUAAGGCCUCACCGUUUGAUUGUCUAUGAUUCAGUGCGAGUAUGGGUGGGGGCCAGUUAGUGUUAGGACUACAAAAGCAUCAUGAGGACUCGACAUGGUGAUGGGCCUUAUGAUGGACCAUACUCCCUCAACUUUUUGAGGAUAGAGUAGUAAAUUUAGUCUUAAAAAAACGUUUCACUUUUGAGUUUGGAUCAUCGAGUGUGCCUAUGCCCUACCCAUCAGAAUCAUAGAUUAGACCCUAAAUCCCUUGGGCCACCUUCAAAAUAUUUAUACUGAUCCGCGCAUAAAAUUUAAAUUUCAAUCAAAAUUAAUUAUAUAUAUAAAAAAAAAAAUAUAUGUAUGAUCAUCUUCCCAUCAACAUUUGAUUUACAAGAUAUUAGCAGGAAACAAUUCAGGGAGACGAAUGAGAGAAUGGCCUCUUCUAAUUAGUUUGGGAACACUCCAUGAUUCACAUACUCAUUCUCUGUAAUGUUGUUUCACAGUGUCUGCAGAUGUACAAAUCCUAUAACAAUAAAGAGAAGAGGGAAGAGCAAAGCUACAUUCAUUGGCAUUGAAUGCUUGCUGAAUUUUGGUUACCAUCUUAAAAACAAAAUAAAAAUUGAAGAAUUAUUAACAAUUAACAAACAAACACCCUAUAGAACAACAAAUUUAAGUUUUUAUUUGGCUUUUCUCUUGCUUUCUUUUGUGAAGCAACUUCUAUGGAAAAAAAUGGAGCAAAUGUACAUCUAGCAUGUACAUUAGAGAU
rnacentral:misc_RNA from 1 species